rnacentral:rRNA from 1 species
AGUUAUGAAAUGUAGGUACGCUGAUAUCGUAUCUAUUUGACAAAGGCUCCAAAGGAAGCCACGGCUAACUCUGUGCCAGCAGCCGCGGUAAUACAGAGGUGGCAAGCGUUGUUCGGAAUUAUUGGGCGUAAAGAGCACGUAGGUGGAUUUGUAAGUCAGAUGUGAAAGCCUUCUGUUCAACGGGAGAAUUGCAUCUGAAACUACAAACCUUGAGUAUAGGAGGGGAGAGUGGAACUUCUGGU